AGUGAACGCUGGCGGUAGGCCUAACACAUGCAAGUCGAACGGCAGCACAGUAAGAGCUUGCUCUUACGGGUGGCGAGUGGCGGACGGGUGAGGAAUACAUCGGAAUCUACUUUUUCGUGGGGGAUAACGUAGGGAAACUUACGCUAAUACCGCAUACGACCUACGGGUGAAAGCAGGGGAUCUUCGGACCUUGCGCGAUUGAAUGAGCCGAUGUCGGAUUAGCUAGUUGGCGGGGUAAAGGCCCACCAAGGCGACGAUCCGUAGCUGGUCUGAGAGGAUGAUCAGCCACACUGGAACUGAGACACGGUCCAGACUCCUACGGGAGGCAGCAGUGGGGAAUAUUGGACAAUGGGCGAAAGCCUGAUCCAGCCAUACCGCGUGGGUGAAGAAGGCCUUCGGGUUGUAAAGCCCUUUUGUUGGGAAAGAAAAGCAGCAGGUUAAUACCCCGCUGUUCUGACGGUACCCAAAGAAUAAGCACCGGCUAACUCCGUG
rnacentral:rRNA from 1 species